UUGCGGUAAAUGUUGUCGUCGGUCCCGC
rnacentral:sRNA from 1 species